rnacentral:lncRNA from 1 species
AAAAUAUGCAAAAUUGGAGAUUUUUGCAUUUUUUAUGCAUAAUAUGCAAAAUAUAAGUCUAUUAAUUAUAAAUAAUAUGUACGUUUUUCAAUAAAAGUUACAUCUGAUAUUAUUUAAAAAAUUGAAAAAAAAAUUGUUUAAACAAAUAUGAUGGUGUAUAUAACAAUUAAUUUAUUUAAAUAAUGCAUAUUCGUAAUGUAUGUACGUAAAAAAGUAGAUACCAAUUAAAAAAAGAAACGUCGAAAUAAAUAAUCGAGAACCAGAGAUUAGUCAGUUAAUAGCUCCUUCCCCCUUCUCAUCGCUAUCCCAAGUUUCAAGGCCGGCAGAUUUUAAGGGCCACAUUUUUAAGCGUUGUGGACGAUUUCCUUUAAAGGAAAUCUUUUUUAUAUUUGGUACAUUAAAACUAUGAAGUACGUUCUUUCAAAUGCGGCUAAUUUUAUUUCUUAAUUGUUAUAAACAAAGCUGCUGUGACCUUAAAAAAAGAAGGGGGCUAACUUCGUCUCUAAUUGUCCUAGGAUAAUUGUUUUUCCUUCUAAAUGUGUAUAAAAAUUCAUUAUUUCUAAAUAUGAAAAAAUUAUUUUUCUACGGUUAACGGUUAAAAAGUUAUUCUAAUUGUUUAUAAGCAAAAAGUCGACAUGUUCUUGCAAAAUUAUUUUACACUAUUUAAAAUUAUUAUUUGUCAUUUUUUUUUAAUUAACUUAACCCUUUCAGUCACACUGUACCUCAAGAGGUACAUUUAUUAUGUAUGAUUUCAAACAUCAAUGGGAAUUGACUUAUAUCCAAGAAAAUAUUUUACAGAUCAAAUAUCAUGUCUAAUUCGUAGACGCCUGCAUUCUGCGCGCGAUAUUGUUUUUGCUUGACAGUUAUAACCUGAUUUGAAAUUAGUUCGUUUGAGUAACAUUUGCAAUAGGUUAGGACAGUCUGUUUGUGUAUGUUGUUUUUGCUGUUUAUUUUCGAGAAUAAACGCGGAUAUAUGUUUGAUAGAUAUUGCUAAUAUAGUAAAAAACCACUUACAAAUGAGGAGUUACCAUAUUAUCUUGAAAAUGAUGAUGAUUCAGAUAAUCCGAAUCUUGACGAGGAAGAUGAUGGAUGGGAGGAUGAUACUCAAAUGGAAACUAAUGAUGAAAUAGUUCAAUUUUUGAAUGAAAGUGCUCGUUCAGAUGAAUAAAAAGCUAAUUCUCAAGAUGUAGAGGAUGAUUUGGAGCAAGAGCCAAACAACGACCAA